GAUGAACGCUAGCGGCAGGCCUAAUACAUGCAAGUCGAGGGGUAGAGGUUGCUUGCAACCUUGAGACCGGCGCACGGGUGCGUAACGCGUAUGCAACCUACCUUCAUCAGGGGGAUAGCCCGGAGAAAUCCGGAUUAACACCGCAUAAAAUCACAGUACGGCAUCGUACAAUGAUCAAACAUUCAUGGGAUGGAGAUGGGCAUGCGUGCCAUUAGCUAGUUGGCGGGGUAACGGCCUACCAAGGCUUCGAUGGCUAGGGGAUCUGAGAGGAUGGCCCCCCACACUGGUACUGGGACACGGACCAGGCUCCUACGGGAGGCAGCAGUAAGGAAUAUUGGUCAAUGGGCGCAAGCCUGAACCAGCCAUGCCGCGUGCAGGAAGACGGCCCUCCGGGUUGUAAACUGCUUUUAUUCGGGAAUAAACCUGUCUACGUGUAGACAGCUGAAUGUACCGAAGGAAUAAGGAUCGGCUAACUCCGUGCCAGCCGCCGCAGUAA
rnacentral:rRNA from 1 species